GCACGCGCGAACAGACCACUGUGUUAAAAGUAAUACCCUGUACAUCGCGACUCGGUGCACGAAACGAACUUUUGUGUUAAUCUGUGCUACGCAAUGGAUAUUGUUACUUUGGACCCAACUGGACUAUAUUGAAAACUGGGAAUAAUUGAUCGCCAAUAUGGACGUACUGACCCUAGAUCCUACCGGUCAGUACUAACUGUCGAUGGCUUUUAAGAGUUUGGACCCGACUGGUGUGUAUUGAACUUUCUUAUUAGAAUCUUACUUGAUAAAAUGGAGGUAAAGGUUCUUGAUCCUACCGGACAAUAUUAAAGCUACAAAAUGAUCGGGCUAGAUCCCACAGAAAUCUAUUAAACCUUUUCUACCUUCUAUGAGGCAAUAUGUGCUGCGGCAGACGGAGAAUUCUUACUGGCACGCGCCCGGAGGAGACAUCUUCUUGCAGGAAGAGGAGGCUCUCGAUUGAGACCUAACUGACUGCCAAAUUAUGACAACAGCUGUAAAUAAUCAGAAAAAAAUGAAGGGGGGCGUGUACGCAAGGUCAUUGGAUGGAAAUCAGCUGACUUGCGCGCCGCGUGCUAUCCGGAAAUGCAGACAUAGAAAAAAUACUUUGUGCAGUAACUUGGCCUAAAAACACGCCUGUUACAGAAGAUCCUUAUUCUGAUGACACAUAUUCCCGCUUCGCUCAGCAGCUUUCGUCUUCAUUAUCUCAAGAGAACUCCAUAAAAUGUUCGAUCAAUACUCACUAGUUUUAAGUGCUAUUUGACUGAAUAAAUGAUUCUUUUUCGAGAACUUACAUAUCUUUCAUGCAUUUGUAUUUUAUAUAAAUUAUUGUAUUUAAAAAAAAUAUAUAAUUAUAAGUUGAUGCGGCUUUGUUGACAGUUGUAUAAAAAAAGGUUGUUGUGAAUAGAUAAGAGAUUUAUAUUUUUUUCUAAAUUCUAGCUUAGACAUAUUUAAGGUACUGAUAAUAAUAUAACGACAAUCUCUAUUUUCUGUCAAUAAAGUAGCAUCGAAGUUUAGAUCUUAAGGAGAUUAAGGACAAGCAAAAAGAGGCAAAGGGUUUUUUGAAUGGUUUUCUUUUUCUGACUGUAUAUUUUAUAAGAAACCUUCAAAAAUUACCAUAUAUAAAAAUAUAUGUAGUUAUUAGUUAAAUAUUUAGAUUUCUGCUACUUAUUACUUUCCGCAUAAUUCGAGUUACCAAUUUGAUUUUGCUUAAACAAAAUGUAAAUAAAAUAACGCUUACUUCUG